rnacentral:rRNA from 1 species
CAGCAGCCGCGGUAAUACGUAUGUCACGAGCGUUAUCCGGAUUUAUUGGGCGUAAAGCGCGUCUAGGUGGUUAUGUAAGUCUGAUGUGAAAAUGCAGGGCUCAACUCUGUAUUGCGUUGGAAACUGUAUAACCAGAGUACUGGAGAGGUAAGCGGAACUACAAGUGUAGAGGUGAAAUUCGUAGAUAUUUGUAGGAAUGCCGAUGGGGAAGCCAGCUUACUGGACAGAUACUGACGCUAAAGCGCGAAAGCGUGGGUAGCAAACAGGAUUAGAUACCCUGUAGUCCCUGUCUCUUAUACAC